AUUCAAGAAAUGAUAGAUCAUAUAUGAUUUCGGCUCAUACUUAGAUGUUUAAACAUCCUUGUUUA
rnacentral:tRNA from 1 species